UCCAGUUUGCAAAUUACCACUGCUUUAUUAGGCUUUAAUUCAUUCUGCUCCAGGGCAUUGCUCGCAAAAGCCUUUACAAAGAGGAGGGGGGUGCAGUGUCUGGGGCUGCGUGCGCUCAGCAGCGUGCGACCCCAUGGCUGCCUGUCCCGGUGGCCACUGGGCCUGCCCUGCUUCCACCUCUGUUCCUUGUCAGGCAGGAACAAGAUGGGAGUAAAAUGUUUCCCAAGGGGCAGUUGCCAAGGCAGUGACCUGUGUGGAGCUGCAAGUGCUGUCCUUUUAACUCUUUUUACCUCCUUCACCCAUGCUAGGGCAGCAGUUGGGCCAUCUGCAUGCACACAGGCGGCAUUUGUCCCUUGGUCACACUUUCCCCAUUCCCAGAUGGAGCAAAGUCUUUGCUGUCUCUGGGUCAGCUGAGCCAGGGGCAGCCUGGGGCUGAAACUGAAGCCAGGGCAGCCACAGGGCCACGUGCACCUUCCCCUCCAUGGACAUUUUAAUCCAGGUUGCGUUUCUCACAACAGGGCCAAGGAUGAGCAGUGGGGCUGGCUGGCUGCACACCAUACUGAUGCUGGGGCAUCCCAGGCUGUGCCCCACUGGGCCGUGCAUUAUGUCAUAGGAGCUGCGAGGCGCGAGCGGGAGCUCAUCCCAGUGCGUAAUGGAAAGCACUUGUCCCUUGUAAUGCUGUCUGGCCAUAAAAUGUCAGAGGGAUGUAAAAGUUAUAAAUACAUCGGGGAGCGCGUGAGCACAGCAUUAACCCUGCACCAGGAGCUCUGCUUAACCCCAGGGGGUUGACCCCAGGGCAGCUGGAACGGAGCAAAUGUCACAGGAGACACGGGCAGCAGCCCUGUCCGCAGAGAGGUCUGCCUUGAAUGGAGCAGAGCUUGCUUGCUGUCGCGGUGAGGUGUGAGACAUUCUGUCCGGGUACAUACAGCCCUACAUCUAUACAUGUCUGUAACAGUUGAAGCGGAUCCCAGAGUCCUAAAGAACAUUCCUGAGAAACCUCUUGCUUUUGCUGUGCCAAGACUGCAGGGCAUGGCUUCAGUGUUCCCAAGGUAUGGUCUAGGGGUGUAACACAAACCCACGGCGUUCCUGCAGGAGAGCCCCACGGAAGGGCAGGACAGGGAGGAGAAGAGGACUGGGGAACAGGUGCAGGACCCGCGUCCACAAAUACUCCGGUGGAAAGAGUGAGAGGAGCAGGGAGCAACGAUGCAAUAAAUCUUUUAGAAGAAACAAUAAGACCAGGACAGCUGGCACAGAAAGGAGCACGUUCCCUUGGCUACCGGAGGCUUCAGGAAUGAAGAAAUUGGGGAGGGUGAGGGACAACACGUUGGCAGGGCAAAGGGAGAAAAGAGGAACCCGCUGGAACGCGAACACCGCUGUAAUGAGUAACACCCGGCUUCAAUGGGACGAUGCUUUCCGCAUGCACUGUGUUUUACGGCUACCAUAAAUAAUGAAAUCAGUAUUUGUAAACUAUCCUUUAAGGAAUCCAUCCUUUUCCAGAGAUUUCAAAAGCGUGUCAUUUUCCAUAUUGUGAAGUUUGCCAGCUCGUCUAUUUUUAGCGAUUCUUACUCUACUGAUGUGGUCAAGACGGUCCUUAAACAGAAGAGAGCGGCUGCGUGCCUCGAAGGUAUAAACAGCCAGACAUGUGCUGGGAAAUGCUUCGGAGGUGAGCACGCCGGGCUGCCGACAUCAAAGCUGUGGGCUGGUGGAGCAGCAGGGACGGGUCUGUGCACAGACUGGAUCAACAGGCAUGGGAAAACAGCUUGAAAGUGCCUGUUCUCAGAGAUCUGAAGAGCCUUUCGUCUCAUGGCCCAGGGAACGAGACAGAUCCUGCAGAGAACUCCCAGCACUUCCAUGGAAACCUUGAUUUGGUCAACGUGACAAUGAAAAAGAAUAUAAUGAGGUGGUGUGUGAGGCUUGAGGCUCAAGGCUAUGAGUGGAGAUCCAUCCCUUGAGUUGGGGAUAUGUCGCUAGGCUCAGAACGCGAUGUCCUGUGUGCCCCACAGAUGAGCUGGGCUGAGCUGAUGGUUAGUUUGGGGCAUAAAAUCCCCUGGAGAAUCUGAAGCUGCUCCUGGUGUGCCUCUGGCAGCUGGCAGCACCUCUACACCUGUCCUACCGCAGUGUUGCUGGGGCUCACAUGGCUCCUCAGGUACCUCCGUCCCUCACUUACAGACUUUACUGCAUUAGUAUUUCAAGGACCGUGUUCUGUCCUAAAUAAUACAUCUCCUUCUUGCAUGCAUGCUUUUUUUUCCUAUUUAAAGGCCACUGAGUCAUUGGCUGUAAAUACGUGUGUACUCUCAAGAAGUUACUGACAAAACCACUGGGUCAUGCCUUGCUGAAAUCUCACUUUUAGACGAUGAAGCCCCUACAUAUUUCAUGUCAUCUCAUCUCAUGCCUUGUACUCUCCCUUUCCAGGAUCAGACUCUGCUGAAGGAUGGUCCUCCUGAAUUUCAGGUGUUGGAACUGCCUCCAGGCUUCCUGCUGCCAUGCUGUGCCCCUUUCUCCCACCCUUGCCAUACCAUGGCCUCCCCGUGGCCUCACUCCACUGUGUCAUAUCCUUCCCCUGGUGCUGAUUUUGGCAUAUCCUUGCUGCCUUCCCCCCUCCCUCCCCCUGCCUGCUCUGCUCCUGAGGGCUUGAUCCAAGGCUCUGAUCCGAGGCACCUCCCAGGUCCCCUCUGAGCCACAGCUUUCCUGCAGGGCUCCUGGGUUGACCUGAUGACUUUUUGGCGGCCCGCAAUAGGGUGACGUGUCCUGGCUGCACUGGGGCUGCUGUGCUCCAGCCCUUGGAGAAGCGAGCCCACACCUGGUGGGUGCCUGUCCCUGCACCCCCUGUCCCUGUGCUGCCUUUUUCAGGCCAUGAGAGCCUGGUGGAGACUGGCCCUGUUGCAAGGCACACGCGGGCAGCAGGAGGGAAGCUCACAGCAAUCCAUAAUCUUUGCAGCACUCUCGCGAGCAGCUGUCUGGCAAAUGUCAAGCACUGUCUAGGGCUAUUUUGGGCGCUUUAUUUUUGUACAGGAUGCUUUGAGCUGGGGGAAGGGCACAGAGAGCAUUUUCUCAUCUUAAAGAAUACAACCCUCAGGAGGAAGGCUCAAGGACGCCCCUUGGUCACGCGGCCAUAAACCAUGGAGUGUCCCUGGGGCCAGCGGGACACAGAAGAUGUCCUACAGGGUGGGGACAUGGAGUUAGAUCGUGCCACAGGCACGACCAUGGUAAGCACUAUCACUGCAGUGGGGUGCCCACCACCCCAGAGAGGCUCUGGGUGAGCCCUCAGCUCACCUUUGAGACAUCAGUAUCUCCUGCUGGUGUCCCAGCAACCCAAGGUGAGUAACACAGCCAUCAGGCAUCCCUCCAAGGACUUGCACAACAACAGUCCCAACUCUGGGUGUUUCCCUUUGCUCUCCCAUGGGCCUGAUCCUCCCAGCCCAAAGGGCCCUUCAACGCCGCCAGUUUCAACACAGCAAGGACCCAGAGCCAAGGUCUUACACAAGGAGGAGCAGAGCACCCAGAGUUCUGCAUGUGAAAGGUGAUAUGGAACGCUACUGGAACACCCAACACCAAAGCAUUCCUGCUGAAAGAACUGAGGGGUUCACUCCUGACCCCAACACAGUUCUACGAGAGGAAAAGUAGAGUGGAAGUAGGAGAAACAGCCCCUCAAUGCCCAAGGUCAAGCUGGAUGGGGCUCUGAGCACCUGAUGGAGCUGUAGGUGUCCCUGUGCAUUGCAGGGGAGUUGGACCAGGUGGCCCUUGAGGAUCCCUUCCAACUCAAACAAUUCUAUGAUUCUAACAUUUAUUGCUAUGAAAUGUUAUUUAAAAAAAUGCAAUACUUAUACCAUGGCUACCCUUGGCCAACAGGUGAGCAGCUUUCACCAGCGCUUAGCAGCAACCAGGGCAGGGCUUUG
ensembl:lncRNA